GACGAACCGAGCGAACGUUGUUCGGAAUAACUGGGCUUAAAGGGCGCGUAGGCGGGCCGCCAAGUCCGAGGUGAAAUCCUCCGGCUCAACCGGAGAACUGCCUCGGAUACUGGAGGUCUCGAGGGUGGUAGGGGCAUGCGGAACUAACGGUGGAGCGGUGAAAUGCGUUGAUAUCGUUAGGAACUCCGGUGGCGAAGGCGGCAUGCUGGACCACGUCUGACGCUGAGGCGCGAAAGCCAGGGGAGCAAACGGG
rnacentral:rRNA from 1 species